GCACUUCCGAAGAGUCCCACAAUAGGAUGAAACGGCCUUCCAGUGU
rnacentral:hammerhead_ribozyme from 1 species